rnacentral:siRNA from 1 species
GCCGCUCGGUGGUAAUUAUAA